rnacentral:rRNA from 1 species
UACGUAGGGUGCAAGCGUUGUCCGGAAUUAUUGGGCGUAAGAGCUCGUAGGCGGUCUGUCGCGUCUGCUGUGAAAACUCGGGGCUUAACCCCGGGCCUGCAGUGGGGUACGGGCAGACUAGAGGGUAGGUAGGGGAGAUCGGAAUUCCUGGUGUAGCGGUGAAAUGCGCAGAUAUCAGGAGGAACACCGGUGGCGAAGGCGGAUCUCUGGGCCUUACCUGACGCUGAGGCGCGAAAGCUAGGGAGCAAACAGG